rnacentral:rRNA from 1 species
UCCAGUUGAUCCUGCUGGCGGCUGCGGCUCUCUGAUUUGAUUUAGACAUGCAAGUUUCUGUUUUUAGCAAUAAGAACAUAGCAAACUGCUCAGUAACACGUAGUUAAUCUACUCUAAGGUCAGGUAUACCCUCGGGAAACUGAGGCUAACACUUGAUAGAAAAUAUUCUCUGGAAUGAUAUAUAUUUGAAACUCGUGCCUUAGAAUGAGACUGCGGCGGAUUAGGUUGUUAGCGGGGUAACUGCCCACCAAGCCGAUUAUCCGUAAGGGCUCUUAGCGGAGAAGCCCUGAGAGGGAAUCUGAGACACUAUUCCCAGCCCUACGGGGUGCAGCAGUUAAGAAUAUUCUGCAAUGCGCGAAAGCGUGACAGAGUGAAUCAGAGUGCUUUUCAAUGAAAAGCUUUUGUGUGGUGUAAAAAGCCAUGCGAAUAAGGACUGGGUAAGACGAGUGCCAGCCGCCGCGGUAAUACUCGCGGUCCAAGUCGCAGCCAUUUUUAUUGAGUCUAAAACAUCCGUAGCUUGCUUAAUAAGUUCUUUGUGAAAUUUUAUAUCUCAAGUAUAGAGCGCGCAGAAAAUACUAUUAAGCUAGAGACUGGAAGACGUGAGAAGUACGAUUGAGGUAGCGGUAAAAUGUUUUAAUCUUAAUCGGACUAACAAGAGCGAAGGCAUCUCACGAGGACAGUUCUGACAGUAAGGGAUGAAGGCCAGGGGCGCAAAACGGAUUAGAUACCCGUGUAGUCCUGGCAGUAAACACUGCACACUAAACAUUAGUGCCUCCUCGAGAGGCAUUAGUGCUGUAGGGAAGCCGAAGAGUGUGCUACCUGGGAAGUAUAGUCGCAAGGCUGUAACUUAAAGGAAUUGGCGGGGAGACACUACAACGGGUGACGCGUGCGGUUCAAUUAGAUUAUACACCAUGAACCUCACCAGGACCGACAGCAGAAUGAAGGUCAGUCUAAAGGGCUUACCUGACACGCUGAGAGGGGUCGCAAGGCCGACGUCAGCCUGUGCCGUGAGGUGACCUGUUAAAUCAGGUAACAGGCAAGACCCACGUGUAUAUUUACUACAUGUACAAUAUACAGAUUGCCAUGGUAACAUGGAUGAAAGUGUGGGCUACGUUAGGUUAGUUCAGCCCGAAUGCCCUGGGCGACACGCGCGCGUCAAUGCUGAAUACAAAGAGAUGCGACACCGAAAGGUGAAGCUAAUCUCAUAAAGUUCAGCUUAGUUCAGAUCGAGGUUUGUAACUCAGCCUCGUGACGCUGGAAUCCGUAGUAAUCGGGUG